GAUGAACGCUGGCGGCGUGCCUAAUACAUGCAAGUCGAGCGAACAGACGAGGAGCUUGCUCCUCUGACGUUAGCGGCGGACGGGUGAGUAACACGUGGAUAACCUACCUAUAAGACUGGGAUAACUUCGGGAAACCGGAGCUAAUACCGGAUAAUAUAUUGAACCGCAUGGUUCAAUAGUGAAAGACGGUUUUGCUGUCACUUAUAGAUGGAUCCGCGCCGCAUUAGCUAGUUGGUAAGGUAACGGCUUACCAAGGCAACGAUGCGUAGCCGACCUGAGAGGGUGAUCGGCCACACUGGAACUGAGACACGGUCCAGACUCCUACGGGAGGCAGCAGUAGGGAAUCUUCCGCAAUGGGCGAAAGCCUGACGGAGCAACGCCGCGUGAGUGAUGAAGGUCUUCGGAUCGUAAAACUCUGUAAUUAGGGAAGAACAAAUGUGUAAGUAACUAUGCACGUCUUGACGGUACCUAAUCAGAAAGCCACGGCUAACUACGUG
rnacentral:rRNA from 1 species